AGAAUUCGAAGGUUCCAUUUUGCAAUUUUGGAUACACGUCAUACACCCGGAUUACCCAGUGCUCCCCCGUCUAAAAACUAAUCUCCAAACCCUGAUUUUCUUCUCUCAUAUUCGCUCCUCUCUUCGCUCCUAAUCCUCUGAAAUUCCAUGGCGGAAAGAACAGCGAAAUCCCGAGCAUGCUUCUACUAUCCCUAGUGACAGACGAUGCACACCAUAAGUUAACUGUAUUCACGUACAAAAAAAAAACAGAAAUACAAACCCAACUAUUGUAUUGUCUAUCGAUAAAGGUAUUGCUUUUAAUCAGUCAAGGUAUUAAGGUAUUUCUUUUAACCACUCAAGGUAUUAUUUGUGCGAAUUCUUAUAAAUCCAGAAGUUUUUUUUUCUUUUGAAUUUUGAUCAUCUCACAUUGUUUAAAUAUAAACCUAAUCAGAAACCCUAAACAACUUAAGAUCGCUCUUCCACUUCCUGUUGUUUAUUUUAGAAUCGACCCUUAAAAAUAAAUCGAUCUAAUUCGGGUCUUCAUAUCUCUUUGCGGGUAUCAUAAUGUUGGUUUAUAAAUUAAUUAUGAAAGGCGAGGAGAAAAUGGGGUUACUUGCAUACACGUUGCAGGUCAAUGAUAUGUUGUUGUAAAAUUAGUUGAGAAAAUCCCUUUGUAUCCAUUGAUUAUUAACUGCGACUCAUAAAUGAUAUGUCGUUGUAGAAUGCUUUCCAUUAUAUAAUUUUAUUCUAAAAAGAAAUAUAUGCUCCUGUUUUAGUUUAUCUUAUAGGCUUUUCCCAUGUCUGCAUACAGUGAGAAAGAUAAUUUAUCUGCUAUCAGGUAUGAGCUGGAUUGUUGCUGUGAAGGUUUCAAUGUUUUGCAUGUAUGUCCUGUGUUCGAGUUCAAAUGUCAUUUCUAUUCAGUUCUUUGUCCAUUAGAGACUUCGGUAACAAUAUGUAUGUGUUUGUUAUUCCCUUACCGUUGUACGUAUGCUAAUGUUAAUAUUCCCUACUAUUACAGGUCUGAUGAGGUUAUAAGAGUAGAAUUUCGCUUAGUGUUAGUAUUUGCUGGCAUUUGCGGAGUAACAUUAUUAAUUUAUUAUGGGAGGAUAACAACAUUCUUGGAUCUCGGCCACCUGUGAAAAUGGAUAGCCAUGUCUAUCAAGAUUAAGUGGUUCCCAAAGCUAUAAGUCUAUGACUCCUUACUCGAAAGACUAUUGUUUCGGCUCCAACUAGGGAGAGGGCCAUUGAACAUAUGAAUAGGACUCUCAGUAGCACUGUUAUUACAGGGGUUCCUACGAUCAUUCAACUGUAAAAAAUAAUAUUAGACAUUGAGGUAUAUGAACUCUUUAAGAUAAAUAUGAACUAAAAAUAAGCGUAAUUUUUCAGAAAACCUAAAAGGACUUCCACUCCGUGUAACUCUGAUUUCAUACAGAAACAUGAUUAAGAGUUAGCUUUUGUAAGAUGCCAGUGCUUAUCGUUAAUGUUGGUAUCACUUCUUUCUCACUUGCAGCCACAACAAAAAUGGUGUUAUCAACACAUCCAAAAGAGAGAGUGAACAUGACUUCCUAGAGAAAUAUUUGUCAAUCCAACUUGAUUGUCACCUACAUAUUUGGCGGCCACCACUUUCUUAAUGAAUUGAGUAUUUGUUUCAAAGUUAAUAUAGAGAUACACGGUAGAGAUAGGGUAGAUGUUUAUGUUAAGAGAAGAAAAUUUCCUGUUGAUAAGAUUGUUCUCGAUGAUUAUGAUUGUGAAAACAGGGUCAGGAUUUCUCUUUUUCUUUCUAGCUUUACUCCGUUUCUCUUUUAAGACAAGUCAUUUUAUGAUAUAUGUUUGAUUUUAGGAAGGAUCUGAAGGGCCAUAAAAGACAGUUCCAUCUCGAAGUUCUUCAAAAAGAAGAAGAGCAGCGGAAGUUUACGAAGAGAAGGUUGUCCAAUUGAUUUCCUCUUUGUACACUCUUUGAAGGCUCUGCCAAAGAAGCUUGCAACAUCUAAUUCUAAUUUUGUUAAACCGGCAAACAACACGAGUAGGCCAGCAAUCACGGAACAAUCCAGAAAGGAGAUGAUGAGCGAGCCUUUUUACAUUCAAUCUUGAUAUGAGCGUCUAUGAGGUGACUGCCUAAUGGAUCAAUAACUACACAUAAGAGGAGCAUUUUAGCUAGCAUACAUUAUUAAAGAAAAUCGAAAGAGAUCAGUAUGUUCUUUAUAUUGUAACUGAAUGCUUGCUUAGUGACAAACAAACUCUUAUCCCACUUAAGGAUAAAAAUGUUUACAACUGAGAAAAAUAAAUCACAUUCCGGUUGGGCUUUAUUCUA